rnacentral:rRNA from 1 species
AGUCGAGCGGACAGACGGGAGCUCGGCUCCCUGAUGUUAGCGGCGGACGGGUGAGUAACACGUGGGUAACCUGCCUGUAAGACUGGGAUAACUCCGGGAAACCGGGGCUAAUACCGGAUGCUUGAUUGAACCGCAUGGUUCAAUUAUAAAAGGUGGCUUUUACCUACCACUUACAAAUGGACCCCCGGCGCAUUACCUAGUUGGUGAGGUAACGGCUCACCAAGGCAACAAUCCGUACCCAACCUGAAAGGGUGAUCGGCCCCACUGGGACUGAAACACGGCCCAAACUCCUACGGGAGGCAGCAUUAGGGAAUCUUCCCCAAUGGACAAAAGUCUGACGGACCAACGCCCCGUGAUUGAUGAAGGUUUUCGAAUCGUAAAACUCUGUUGUUAGGGAAAAACAAUUACCGUUCAAAUAGGGCGGUACCUUGACGGUACCUAACCAAAAAGCCACGGCUAACUACUUGCCACCAGCCGCGGUAAUACUUAGGUGGCAAGCGUUGUCCGGAAUUAUUGGGCGUAAAGGGCGCGCAGGCGGUUUCUUAAUUCUAAUGUGAAAGCCCCCGGUUCAACCGGGAAGGGUCAUUGGAAACUGGGGAACUUGAUUGCAAAAAAGGAAAUUGAAAUUCCACUUGUAGCGGUGAAAUGCUUAAAGAUUGAAGGAACACCAUUGGCAAAGGCAACUCUUGGUCUGUAACUGACCUAAGGCCGAAAGCGUGGGGAGCGAACAGGAUUAAAA